AUUGAACGCUGGCGGCAUGCCUUACACAUGCAAGUCGAACGGUAACAGGUUAAGCUGACGAGUGGCGAACGGGUGAGUAAUAUAUCGGAACGUGCCCAAUCGUGGGGGAUAACGCAGCGAAAGUUGUGCUAAUACCGCAUACGAUCUACGGAUGAAAGCGGGGGAUCGCAAGACCUCGCGCGUUUGGAGCGGCCGAUGGCAGAUUAGGUUGUUGGUGGGGUAAAGGCUUACCAAGCCUGCGAUCUGUAGCUGGUCUGAGAGGACGACCAGCCACACUGGGACUGAGACACGGCCCAGACUCCUACGGGAGGCAGCAGUGGGGAAUUUUGGACAAUGGGCGCAAGCCUGAUCCAGCCAUUCCGCGUGCAGGAUGAAGGCCCUCGGGUUGUAAACUGCUUUUGUACAGAACGAAAAGGUCCUGGUUAAUACCUGGGGCUCAUGACGGUACUGUAAGAAUGAGCACCGGCUAACUACGUGCCAGCAGCCGCGGUAAAG
rnacentral:rRNA from 1 species